CCUACGGGAGGCUGCAGUGAGGAAUAUUGGUCAAUGGACGAGAGUCUGAACCAGCCAAGUAGCGUGAAGGAUGACUGCCCUAUGGGUUGUAAACUUUUUUUAUAUGGGAAUAAAAUGUUCCACGUGUGGGAUUUUGUAUGUACCAUAUGAAUAAGGAUCGGCUAACUCCGUGCCAGCAGCCGCGGUAAUACGGAGGAUCCGAGCGUUAUCCGGAUUUAUUGGGUUUAAAGGGAGCGUAGGUGGAUUGUUAAGUCAGUUGUGAAAGUUUGCGGCUCAACCGUAAAAUUGCAGUUGAAACUGGCAGUCUUGAGUACAGUAGAGGUGGGCGGAAUUCGUGGUGUAGCGGUGAAAUGCUUAGAUAUCACGAAGAACUCCGAUUGCGAAGGCAGUUCACUGGACUGCAACUGACACUGAGGCUCGAAAGUGUGGGUAUCAAACAGGAUUAGAUACCCGAGUAGUC
rnacentral:rRNA from 1 species